rnacentral:rRNA from 1 species
AUUGCACGCUGGCGGCAGGCCUAACACAUGCAAGUCGAGCGAGCGGCGGACGGGUGAGUAAUGUCUGGGAAACUGCCUGAUGGAGGGGGCUAACUACUGGAAACGGUCGCUAAUACCUCAUCCCAUCAGAUGUGCCCACAUGGGAUUAGCUGGUAGGUGGGGUAACGGCGCACCCCGGCGACGAUCCCUCGCUGGUCUGAGAGGAUGACCAGCCACACGGGAACUUAGACACGGGCCAGACUCCUACGGGAGGCAGCAGUGGGAAAUAUUGCACAAUGGGCGCAAGCCUGAUGCAGCCAUGCCGCGUGUGUGAAGAAGGCCUUCGGGUUGUAAAGCACUGUCAGCGGGGAGGCGUUACCCGCAGAAGAAGCACCGGCUAACUCCGUGCCAGCAGCCGCGGUAAUUC